ACCUAACUCCAUCUUUAAAGAGAGAGAGAUGAGCUUUCACAGAGGAGCCGUUGCCUAGCAACAAGAUGCUAAGAAGGCUAGCUGCAAGCUGAGUCUUCUCUAGAAACAGCUCCCCCUCUCCCCUCCGUGCUGAGUGCAGCAAUGACCUCCAGCAAACGCAGAUGCCCUUGAGAGAAUCACCUUAACAACCAGAAAGCUUCCACCGAGGAGUUCUGCCAAGAUCCCUCCAAGCAACAGCAUUGAGGAUCAGUGGUCAGUGCAGAGGCCUCCAAGACCUCUUGAGCUACAAAAUCCUGAUGAAGAUGAUGGUGAUGGUUAUGGUGAUGGCAGCAGCUAUCCUUUGCAGAAGAAAGCCUGCUCCGAAAUGGAAGAGCCUGCAUAUCUCAUCUCUGGGACAUGGAGUGGACUGAGCUGGAAAGCCCCAAGGGUCAGUUUACAAAGUGUGCACAGUGUUGCGAACACCUGAGCUUGGGUAAUUCACAACAUUUCACUCGUGGGGUCUGGUACUCAAGUGUCCGGAGAGAGCAAAGGGACAUGGAGUCAAUAUGGAUUUCAACAAGGAAGUUCAGCAGCCUUCGCUCCAGACUAAGGCCAUCACCGUAUUCAUACAAACGUAAGGAGCUGUGCCUAGCCACCACCCACUUGUGAGUGCCCCUGGCUCCCCCAUUUUCCUUCCUUUCUUCUGAAUUACACGUGGGAAGUAGCAGGGAAGGAGCUAGCAAGCUUGCUGGCUGCAAGCUCUGGCGAAACACACUUCUACAGAGGACUAAAACAGUUUGACUGACUUUUACUUUAAAAAUUUAUCGUUAUUAAAAGGGGGCCAUAAAAAAACAAGGUCAUAAAUUUAUUUCAGAGUUAAUAUUAUUUCAGGUAACGGGCAGCAAAUUGUAACCAUGGGCUUUUCUGUCCGUGCCCAACUUCUACGAAAUAACAACUCUGAGACUUCUUAUAGAUUAAUAAAUGCCCAGGCCAAUAGCUUUGACGCAUUUCAGCUACUUCAUAGCUCAGUUAUCUGGUUUAAACUCGUCUAAACCAUGCCAUGUGGCUAGUUACCUCUCCUUCGGUUUCACGUGCCAGUCUCCCUCAGAGUUCUGGUUAAAUGCUUGAAGCAUGACUCUAUCCCAGAGUUCUUCUCUCUGCAGAAACGCCCACCUCCUAUUUCCUGCCUCACUUCAUUGGCCAAUCGGCUUUUGAUUGGUGGAUGAAGCUUCCAUUAGUACAAGAGAUUCUCUCUUCAGCAAAUGAUUUGAUUUGGGCUUUCAACUACAUUUGUCAGCUUCCUGGUGGUUUCCUGCCAAGGAAAACCCUUAUUAAAUAAAGUAGUG
rnacentral:lncRNA from 1 species